rnacentral:rRNA from 1 species
GUGGGGAAUUUUGGACAAUGGGCGAAAGCCUGAUCCAGCCAUGCCGCGUGCAGGAUGAAGGCCUUCGGGUUGUAAACUGCUUUUGUACGGAACGAAAAGACUCCUUCUAAUAAAGGGGGUCCAUGACGGUACCGUAAGAAUAAGCACCGGCUAACUACGUGCCAGCAGCCGCGGUAAUACGUAGGGUGCAAGCGUUAAUCGGAAUUACUGGGCGUAAAGCGUGCGCAGGCGGUUAUAUAAGACAGAUGUGAAAUCCCCUGGCUCAACCUGGGAACUGCAUUUGUGACUGUAUAGCUAGAGUACGGUAGAGGGGGAUGGAAUUCCGCGUGUAGCAGUGAAAUGCGUAGAUAUGCGGAGGAACACCGAUGGCGAAGGCAAUCCCCUGGGCCUGCACUGACGCUCAUGCACGAAAGCGUGGGGAGCAAACAGGAUUAGAUACCCGAGUAGUCC